rnacentral:other from 1 species
AUUCCCCUCUCUGGCGCGUGAAGAGGUUGAUGUCUUAAAAACCCGUACGAUCUUUUUGGGGACUGUCCCUUGCUGUGGUGUGCAGGCCCAUUGCUUCUAGAAUGGGAAGUCUAAAGCAGUAAUACGGUUCCCCCCUAGAUGAACUAGGGUUUUUCUAAGUCUCAAUCUCCACGGCCAAGAUAGGGGAUAA